CAAAAGAACCACAUAUUCGUGAUCCUCGUAAAAUUUGUGGUCAACAGUUGAGGAGCUAUUGCUACUUCCGGUAUACUUCCGGAAAAUUUUCGACAAACUAGCAACAUUAAACUGCAAGGAACUCCAUCAGCAGCUCUAAGAAGAUCUAGCCGGACUAAAUUACCCAUCAGCCCAUCUCCAAACGACGUGUCACUUUCCGCAGGACGUACCACGCGAAUGAUGGCAUCCUGACUGCACGAAGUGGCCUGAACUACGAAGAAAACAGCCGUUUCACGCUCGUUUUACAGGCUGAAGAUCUUGCAAAAGAGCCUGGAGCUGCCUUAACCAGUACAGCUACUGUAAUGGUCGAAGUUCUUGAUGUUCAAGACCAGCCUCCAGUGUUUUUAAACGCACCCUAUUGACCUGUCA